rnacentral:rRNA from 1 species
GAUGAACGCUGACAGAAUGCUUAACACAUGCAAGUCAACUUGAAUUUGGGUUUUUAACUUAGGUUUGGGUGGCGGACGGGUGAGUAACGCGUAAAGAACUUGCCUCACAGCUAGGGACAACAUUUGGAAACGAAUGCUAAUACCUAAUAUUAUGAUAAUAGGGCAUCCUAUAAUUAUGAAAGCUAUAAGCGCUGUGAGAGAGCUUUGCGUCCCAUUAGCUAGUUGGAGAGGUAACGGCUCACCAAGGCGAUGAUGGGUAGCCGGUCUGAGAGGGUGAUCGGCCACAAGGGGACUGAGACACGGCCCUUACUCCUACGGGAGGCGGCAGUGGGGAAUAUUGGACAAUGGACCGAGAGUCUGAUCCAGCAAUUCUGUGUGCACGAUGAAGUUUUUCGGAAUGUAAAGUGCUUUCAGUUGGGAAGAAACAAAUGACGGUACCAACAGAAGAAGUGACGGCUAAAUACGUG